rnacentral:ncRNA from 1 species
AAAGAUAAAUAAAUCAUAUAAGUUCGAUAAUAAGGUUCGAAUGUUUCUACAAUACCGCCGUAAAUGGUAUGUCUAUGAUCAAUAAACUA